rnacentral:lncRNA from 1 species
GCAGGAACUCCAAUCAAGAAUUCUGAAGCCGUGAGUGCACUUAUGGAUACUAUCCUGCUACCCACUCAAGUAGGCAUCAUCAAGGUGGCAGCUCACGUGAAGAUCACAGAUGAAAUCUCAAGAGGAAACCACAAAGCAGACAAAGCUGCCAAGCAAGCAGCAAUCAAAGUUCAUCCCUCUACAGGUAAUACCUUUCUACAAGUUGUUCUUACAGAUGACGCCGUUGACUACAAUAUACUGUUGAGCUUACAAAGACAG